CGGUCGAUAAUGAUUAGCCCACUGCGCAAUCUAAUUUCUGAAGUGAUGGAAUCCAUGCUAUCAAGGGCUGAGACCA